rnacentral:misc_RNA from 1 species
GGAAGGAUCAUUAGUGAAAAGAUUAAUUCUUUACACAUUAAACUCUAACGUGAACCUUUACACCAGGCAUGUUCCAGAGAUAAGUCUCCUUGCAAAAGGAAGGUAUUUCUGGCCCCUAUCUGCAGAGUCGCACAUGUUCAUUGACCCCCAUUGCCUAAUUUGAAGCAUUAGUGAAGCCGUGGCUUUGGGACCUUGAAAUGUGUUUAAGCUCUUAGGUUUGGGUAUCCUGACGCCGUAAGUUGGAUUGAGAACCUCGGUUCUCUUCAAGUCCUUCUUUACUUUCAGGUUAGGUGUGCUGUAUUGCUAUAUAAACUUGUGAGUGAAGCUUAACCGUAUUUUUGAUUGCCUGAUAUACAACAUUAGUAAUAAUGAAAUACAACCUUUAACAAUGGAUCUCUUGGCUCCUGCAACGAUGAAGAACGCAGCGAACUGCGAUACGUAGUGUGAAUCGCAUAUGUCCGUGAAUCAUCGAAUCUUUGAACGCAAAAUGCACCUCUUGGUUCUCCGAGAGGUAUGUCUGUUUGAGUAUCAUUUACACCAUCUUCAAACUGUGGUUUGGAGGAGUUGACUGUUCUUGAUCUGUCCGUGAAGCCGUGAAGCAUUACGAUCAAGUCAGUUUAAAUGCAAUGUGGGGAAUUUCGAUUCUUUCAUAUUAGCUAUGGAGAGAUGAGAUUUCACUACUGAAUCACACUAGUUAGUGUUGGUACUUUAGUAAUUUCUCGUUAAGUCUUUCCACUUAGCGCAAUCAUGCAAUGGUGUGCUUAUUCAUGAAGAUUUAUUUCUGAUUGAAUGCGCCCGUUACAACUACUUUGAUUGUGAUCUCAAAUCAGACAAGACUACCCGCUGAACUUAAGCAUAUCAGUAAGCGGAGGAAAAGAAACUAACAAGGAUUCCCUUAGUAACGGCGAGUGAAGUGGGAAGAGCUCAAAUUUGAAAUCUGGUAGGCUUUAGUCUGCCCGAAUUGUAAUUUGAAGAGGCGUUUUCUGAUACGACCCAGGCAUAAGUUCCUUGGAAUAGGACAUCAGAGAGGGUGAGAAUCCCGUUCAUGGUCUGUGGUUUAGUGUCUCUGUGAUACGUACUCUAAGAGUCGGAUUGUUUGGGAAUGCAGUCCAAAAUGGGUGGUAAAUUUCAUCUAAGGCUAAAUACCGGCAGGAGACCGAUAGCGAACAAGUACCGUGAGGGAAAGAUGAAAAGCACUUUGAAAAGAGAGUCAAAUAGUACGUGAAAUUGUUAAAGGGGAAACGAUUGAGACCAGUGUUGAUUGCUAGGAAUCAGCCAGUAGUUGCCGCAAGGUUGCUAUUGGUGCACUUUCUAGCGUCAGGUCAACAUCAGUUUGACUGAUCGGAAAAGAACUAGAGGAAGGUAGCAUGAUCUUCGGAUUGUGUGUUAUAGCCUCUGGUGGAUACGAUCGGUUGGACUGAGGAAUGCAGUGCUCUCUGGCCUAAGCUAGGUAUGUUGUGGUGGGCUUUGUUGUUCGAGUAAUCGUCUGCAGAGUCUAGCCUAUGCAUAUUUGGUGGACGGACUCUAGCGCUGAGGAUGUUGGCAAAAUGGUCUUAAACGACCCGUCUUGAAACACGGACCAAGGAGUCUAACAGAUAUGCGAGUAUUUGAGUGGCAAACUCAAGUGCGGAAUGAAAGUGAAUAAUAGAUGGGAUCCGCAAGGUGCACCAUCGACCGAUCUGGAUAUUUUUUGAUAGAUUUGAGUAAGAGCAUAUCUGCUAGGACCCGAAAGAUGGUGAACUAUGCCUGAGUAGGGCGAAGCCAGAGGAAACUCUGGUGGAGGCUCGUAGCGAUUCUGACGUGCAAAUCGAUCGUCAAACUUGGGUAUAGGGGCGAAAGACUAAUCGAACCAUUCUAAUGGCUGGUUCCCUC